CUGCCCUGCUUUUAACAACCGUGUGUGUGUGUGUGUGUAGUUAUAGCUGCCCUGUUUUAACACUGUGUGUGUGUGUGUUGUGUAUGGUUUUAUCAGCUGCCCUGCUUUUAACACCUGUGUGGGUGUGUAUGUUAUCAGCUGCCUGCUUUUAACACCUGUGUGUGUGUGUUAUCAGCGCUGCUCUUUAACACCUGUGUGUGUGUGUGGUGGGUGUGUAUGUUAUCAGCUGCCUGCUUUUAACACCGUGUGUGUGUUAUCAGCUGCCCUGCUUUUAACACCUGUGUGUGUGUGUGUGUGUGUGUAUGUUAUCAGCUGCCCUGCUUUUAACACCUGUGUGUGUGUAUGUUAUCAGCUGCCCUGCUUUUAACACCUGUGUGUGUGUUAUGUUAUCAGCUGCCCUGCUUUUAACACCUGUGUGUGUGUUGUUAUCAGCUGCCCUGCUUUAACACCUGGUGUGUGUAUGUUAUCAGCUGCCCUGCUUUUAACACCUGUGUGUGUGUAUGUUAUAGCUGCCCUGCUUUUAACACCUGUGUGUGUGUGUGUUAUCAGCUGCCCGCUUUAACACCUGUGUGUGUGGGUGUUGUUAUCUCUGCCGCCUUUAACACGGUGUGUGGUG
rnacentral:lncRNA from 1 species